rnacentral:tRNA from 1 species
GCGGGCGUGGCGGAAUGGUAGACGCAUGGGACUUAAACUCCCUGGGGCGUAGCCCGUGCGGGUUCAAGUCCCGCCGCCCGCA